UACGAGGGGUGCAAGCGUUGCUCGGAAUUAUUGGGCGUAAAGGGUAGGUAGGUGGUCUCAUUUGUCUGGGGUGAAAGCCUUGAGCUUAACUCAAGAAGUGCCCUAGAAACGGUGAGACUGGAGUCCUGGAGAGGGUCGUGGAAUUCCCGGUGUAGCGGUGAAAUGCGUAGAGAUCGGGAGGAACACCAGCGGCGAAGGCGGCUACCUGGCCCACUCUUGACGCUGAGGCGCGAAAGCUAGGGGAGCAAACGGG
rnacentral:rRNA from 1 species